rnacentral:rRNA from 1 species
UACGAAGGGGGCUAGCGUUGUUCGGAUUUACUAGGCGUAAAGCGCGCGUAGGCGGGCUUGUAAGUUGGGGGUGAAAGCCCGGGGCUCAACCCCGGAAUUGCCUUCGAGACUGCAGGCCUGGAGGUCUGGAGAGGCGAGUGGAAUUGCGAGUGUAGAGGUGAAAUUCGUAGAUAUUCGGAGGAACACCAGUGGCGAAGGCGACUCGCUGGCCAUAUAGUGACGCUGAGGUGCGAAAGCGUGGGGAGCAAACAGG